AAAUUUGUAUAUACGAAAUCUGUAAAUAAAAUUUGAAUUCAAAUCCCGUCCCAUAAAACCCUACAUCGUCAUUCCUUCCUCUUGCACUAAACUAACAUGGCGCACAAUACCAACUGCGCAAAAACAAAUCGCUCCCGGGAAAUGUUCCGCGGACACAGAUUUUGCAGCAUCAUGAAAUUGCUUAAAAGCCAAUGUUGGAGAAGGCAAAAGUCUCUUUUCGGUAACAAAGUUCGAAUCGUUUAAACCGUACGUUGAAUUUAAAAAGUUAAUCCUCUUCGCAGGAACAAAGUUAUAAGUUUUGUGCGACGCGAGUGGUCCCAAGUUGCUGCGGUUGUGAUUGUGCCGAUGAAUCAGCCCUGGAAUCCAGUGGGAACGUAUCGAAGGAACUGCAUACACUGAACCAAUAAAUAUCAUAAAAAAUAAACAUGAUAUAAUUACUUGGUUCAGUGUACCACCCCUCGACCCUUCGCGACGAAAGGCCGUUAGCUACCCCUCGCCCGGUACUCAGAGUCGACAUCGAACCCGUACGUGAUUCAGCGACAGGUCAUCACGGAGUGUCCGAACUGCGAUUCGCCCGACAAACCGACCAACCGGCGACCGACAAAUGACCGCCAACCGGCGCCAGGUGAUAAAAAGUGCAAAUCCUUCCAAAUAACCCUAUUUCCCUUUCCUUAAGAAACCUAAUAAACCUAACAAAUGAAUUUAAAUUUUAUAUAA